CUUAUACUCCCUCCUUCCCAAGAUUCUUGUCUUAGAUUUGUCUAGAAAUGAAUGUAUCUAGAUACUAUAAUGUGACUAGAUACAUUCAUAUCUAAACAAAUCUAAGACAAGAAUUAUGGGACAGAGGGAGUAGUAA
rfam:Hordeum vulgare subsp. vulgare, WGS project CAJW01000000 data, contig: morex_contig_154120